rnacentral:lncRNA from 1 species
AGGAAACUGGCUAUAGGAAAAUGGACAAUCUUGCCUCUACCAAAAACAGCUCUCAGAGAAAAGGCAAAUUUCAUUUUAACUCUUUGGUGAUACAAUAACAUUUGGAUUCAUUGAAGGAAAUCAUUGCUGAGUGAGGUAUUUCAUGCUGAAGAGGUAGGUAGGUGAUUGCUAUUCUGGCAUAAAACAGGAGCUAUAUCUAUG